GUCCCUGUAGCGCAAUGGAUAGCGCGUUGGACUUCUAAUCCAAAGGUCGUAUGUUUGAAUCCUUCCUGGGAUG